CCUACGGGAGGCAGCAGUAGGGAAUCUUCCGCAAUGGACGAAAGUCUGACGGAGCAACGCCGCGUGAGCGAUGAAGGCCUUCGGGUCGUAAAGCUCUGUUGUCAGGGAAGAACAAGUAUCGGAGUAACUGCCGGUACCUUGACGGUACCUGACCAGAAAGCCACGGCUAACUACGUGCCAGCAGCCGCGGUAAUACGUAGGUGGCAAGCGUUGUCCGAAAUUACUGGGCGUAAAGCGUACGCAGGCGGCUAUGCAAGACAGGUGUGAAAUCCCCGGGCCCAACCUGGGAACUGCAUUUGUGACUGCAUGGCUAGAGUCCGUAAGAGGGGGGUGGAAUUCCACGUGUAGCAGUGAAAUGCGUAGAGAUGUGGAGGAACACCGAUGGCGAAGGCAGCCCCCUGGGAUGAGACUGACGCUCAUGUACGAAAGCGUGGGGAGCAAACAGGAUUAGAUACCCUGGUAGUCCACGCCCUAAACGAUGUUGACUAGUUGUCGGGUCUUUACAGACUUGGUAACGCAGCUAACGCGUGAAGUCGACCGCCUGGGGAGUACGGUCGCAAGGCUAAAACUCAAAGGAAUUGACGG
rnacentral:rRNA from 1 species